ensembl:lncRNA
AUGAUGGCGUGUGUGUUGGCUCUUCUCGUCCUGUCCCUCCUCCUGAUUGGUCCGUCAGCGUCACCUCCGUCUUCAGGUGACGUGUCAGAGGGGGCGGAGCCGGCCUCUCACUGCCCGCCGCGCUGGCUCCUGUUGGGGCAGAGAUGCUUCGCUUUCUACCCCGUGUGGAGCUCCUGGAGCUCUGCUGAGUCCAUGUGCUCUCAGACAGGGGGUCACCUGGCUUCCCUUCACACCCCGGAGGAGAGGCUGUUCGUGGGUCAGCUGGUGAGAACACACACACCUGUGUGGCUGGGUGGACGCCGGGCCCAACAGAACGGCUCCUGGGUUUGGACUGACGAUCAGAACCAGGAAGAGACCGGCGAGGGCGGGGCUUGCAUGCAAAUGGACCCAAUAAGUGGAGAGCUGCAUGGCGCCCCCUGUGGAGAGCUCUGGUUCUACAUCUGCUCCACCGCAGCCAGGUCUGAAGACUUCCAGUCACCAGUCAAGUCAGGUCUCGCCCCCAAUGUGAGUCUGUUCCAUGCAGUGUGGGGUAAAAACGACAUGUUGGCCGAGGAGAUUCUCCGCUCAUCCUGCUUCUUCCAGGAGCUCCGGUCCGGUCGCCUGAAGCAGCGCUGCUACAGCAGCUUCAUGCAGCAGGAGGCGCUCUACCUGCAGAGAGUCAGCAGCAUGCUGGAGGUCCUGGUCAGCAGCUUACAGGAAGCAGAUGCUGUGAGAUCACUGCUGCUGGACACUCUGGAACACUACAGCAGCAGAACCCAGAACUCCAUCAAUUCACCUCCACCUCAGUGGCUACAGUCGUCCCUCCAGUCUUUCCACUUUUUGGUUUUGGAGGCAGCCGAUCUACUGGCUGGUGGCGCUGUCGGCCCGGGCCUGCCUCUAUGACUUGCUCUCCGGGGUGCAGGUCAGGACAGGGUCUGGGUCUGAACUCGUCUACCAGGACUGGAGCGAGGAGAGUCUGAAGGAAGUCGUCUGGACACAAAGGUACCCGUAAGCCAUCAGAACAUCCUCUGUGAUGGUGUUGUUGCACACAGGUCCAUUUAGAGGCUGUAAUAUUUCACGGUACUCCAUCACAAGUUCAAGUCUGGCAAAGUUCGCCUUGACCAAGUUACUCAAGAUAAUCCACAGAUGCUAGAGGAAGAGGAGGAGGAAGAUGCAUGGACUGAUAAAUGAGAGGUGGUGUUCAAUGCAGGAUGGAAACAUUAAUGGUGCCUGACUCGGUUGAACUGUAACGUUAGCUAGCUUAGCGAGCUAGCUUCUGGACCACGAGGAGAUGUACACCUCCCUCUGUAGUCUGUAGCAGCAGUUGUUUGGUUAGCAUUAGCAAGAGUCCAUGAAAGUCAGGUGGAGUGUCGUAGUCCAGCAAACAUUUCUGCAGCUGAUAAACAACCGAAGGAGCUGGAGACGUGGUUUAAAACAGGAGAAACAACCAAAACAAACACAGAAUGUCUCUGUUCAGCUCGUCUGGACUGAUCAAAGUCUCCAGAAGCUCCAAGAUCCAAAAACCAAUGACAUGUCUUCUAACUGAAUAUGUCCAACAGGUACAGACAGGUGCUGGAGAAACAUCAGGACCAGGUUGACGUGUUCAAAGCGAUCCAAGUCUUCAGGCAGCACAUGAUGAACCAGAAGAGUCUCCACAAGGCCAUGUAAGAACCAAUCAGAGCGUCCGUCUGUGGACGCGCCCGCCCGUCGCUCAGUGAGUCUCAGUCUUUACGAUGUGUGUUUCUUCUUCUGCAGAGUCUGCGAUGAUGACAUCGGUGACACCUUAUAAGGGUUGGUGUGACAGGUGAAGGUGAGUCCAACAAUUUGAUCUCAACAAGCCAUUUAAUUAAAUCGACGGUUCAAACGACUGUAACGGGACAAUAACGAGAUCGAUCUGUUUUCAGUUUGUGUCUGAACGCAAGCGACCGUCUGUUGGAACGAGACUGUUCCUGCCACCAGGGUGAAGGGAACCUCCUGAACUCCACAAGUUUAGGCUUUAUUUAUAUUUCUAUCCGUUUUGUAUGAAGUUAGUAGAACUGUUGUGAAGUGAGCGAGAGGACAGCGGAGAUGAAGAAACGUGGCGUCGCCCCAGUAAAACCUCAAACAGCUCAGAAGUCCAACAUUUAUUUACAUGAUUGUCCACAAGUUUUUUAUCCUCUGUCUGAUACAAAUUGUCAUAUUUUACAAUAAGCUACAUUUUGUUUAAGUCUGACGGGCCAGAUGGAAAAAUAAAGAUAAAAAAAAAGAUGGUGAGACUUUCUGUUUAUUUGUAUUUUUACUCCUGUUAAGUUUAGGUAAGAAAAAAAAUAAAUAAAUGUCUCUAUAAAUACAUUUAAUAUGUGAUUAAAUUGGAUUAAAGUAUAUAUUUCUGUUUUUUUAUUUGCCUCGGAAUUAAUUUACUUUUCUAUUUACUCCUCAGUUUUAUUUAUGAUUAAAAUAAAACAAGGUGAGACCUUAUGUUUAUUUCUGUUUUUACUCCUUUUAAGUCCAGGUAAGAAUUUAAAUAAAAAUAAAUAAAUAAAUCUCAAUAAAUAAAUGUAAUAUGGGAUUCAAUUCAAUUCAAAUAUAUAUUAGUUUUUUGAUUUACUCUUCAGUGUAUUUAGAAUUAUAUUCCAUCUCAAUUAUUUAAAUAAAAUAAAAAUAAAAUAAAAACAUGGUGAGACUUUCUGUUUAUUUCUGUGUUUACUCAUUUAAAGUUAACAUAAGAAUUAAA